UACGUAGGGCGCAAGCGUUGUCCGGAAUUAUUGGGCGUAAAGAGCUCGUAGGCGGCCUGUUACGUCUGCUGUGAAAUCCCGGGGCUUAACCCCGGGCGUGCAGUGGAUACGGGCAGGCUGGAGGCAGGCAGGGGAGAACGGAAUUCCCGGUGUAGCGGUGAAAUGCGCAGAGUAUCGGGAGGAACACCGGUGGCGAAGGCGGUUCUCUGGGCCUGUACUGA
rnacentral:rRNA from 1 species